GGAAGAAGUUGUUGUGAGCAGAGAACCUGUCUGUGCAUUCUGGACAAGCUGUCCUUACUGUCACAUACAGAGGAGGGAACUUAAAGGUGUCUCCGUGUGGUUCUGUAACCCAGCUGUCCCUGCACAUGGACACGCUGACUAAAGUUUCAGAUACCUCCUGGUUUUCUACACUGAGUCACUGUGCUGUUAUCUCCACUGGCUCUUGACAAAUGCAGGAUACAAGAAACUCUGAAACUGAAGACAGCCUGGAGCUGAGCAUCAGUCUAUUAAAAGCACAG
ensembl:lncRNA